GUCUUCUUAGUAUAAAUAGUACUACUGACUUCCAAUCAGUAAGACCUGUAUCAAUGACGGGAGAAGAUA
rnacentral:tRNA from 1 species